AAAAUAGAAUAGAAAAAUUGCAGAUCCAUUUCAAAAUUCCAAAUCACAACAAGCGUAAUUCUGACGGCAUGCGCGUAGCUACUAUUUUUCCAUAAAAAUAAAAAUAAAAAUUCAAACUUCCUCACUACACGUUGCAGCUGCAGGUCACGCGCACGUGCAUUUACUGUGGCUCCACGUCGGACCAAUGGCAUCGAAUGGUAAUUUCCCUUUUAAUCCAUGUCUACUUCAAUAUUAAUAACCGUACCUUUUUUUCUCCAAAACCACUAGCUGCUGCUCUGCUGCUGCCUUUAGAAAUUAUGCGUGGAUCGUCAGAUGAACGUAGUCGGUGCACAUCCACGUGUCACAAUCCUCUUCGUCUGUUUCCAUUAUAAAUAAACAUCAGUCUAGUGUGAUAGAGUAGGCGCAGCAUGUAUCUAUCUAUAUACUUCCGUCUUCUGUCCUUUCUUUCCUUUCUCUCUUUCUGUCUCUCUUGAAAAUUCAACAUCUAUUAUUUGGAAGAGAGAGAAAAAAAAAAGAAUAAUGGAGAAGGGGAGAGAGAGUUGAUUCUGUUACCGGCGGUCUCUAAUUCGCUUGGUGCAGGUCGGGAACUGAUUGGCUUUUCUAUUUCUAAUGAUUUCCAGGUGGCGAAAAGUUAUUGGUCAAGAUUGGAUGGAAAAUGAAUUGGAUCCCGCCUUGCAUCAACUGAAUCGGAGACCGGGGUGAAGGGUUGGUUUCGUGGAUCUUGAGAUUUUAUCUGCUGUUACUGUUCAGAUCUCAGGCUUGAACGGAAAUAUCCUGCUUAAUGUCAAAGCUUUGGGCUUCAUCAACUGCUCAUGUACUGUCCCUGCUCCAGAUUUCAUGGCUAUGGUAUGGUAUCUCAUUUUUCAAGCAUUUCCCAUCUUGUCAUAUAUAUUGUGGUUUUUAUGUGUAACAGUUGAUGUGCUGGAUAUGCAAUAGUGAAGUUUUGCUUGCUUGGUUUUACUGCCAUUUACCACUGGUUAGUCUCUACGUCAGUCGAUGUGUGUACUUGUGUGUUUUGUGUUUAGCAAUCUGGGACCCUUACAGUUUCAUUUUAUUAGCAAAAGGUAGCAAAAGGUUCCACUUUGACAUUGAAUCAUCUUAAUUUUUAUUUUCAUAUGCAUGCAUGCAAACAUUUGGUCUCUUGUUUUAUUGUUUGUCAAAUUUUCUAUUAGUGCACCUGCUUGUUCUGGUUACUAGCACUUGUGUUCAUCCUGGAGGUUGUUCGACAGUUUCCAAUAUAUGGUAUUUGAUCAAAAUCACUUUUAAACCCCCUUCUUCUAGCCCAUCUAUUAACGUACAAGUACUUUUUCCUAAACAACUAGUGGUAAAAUUAAGGCAUUUCAUUGUAUUGGUGAUUUUAUACUCAUCCACGGAAUGUAUAACUAAGUAAUUUGAAUAAGAUCGCUGGGAUUGGCCUCUCAGCGUCUUGAGGUUCAUUUGGAUGAUUGACUAAACAAAGAUUUUGCAGGUCUUGCUGGUUAGAACAAGAAAAAGAUUUGACUCCAAUUCCUUUUGGCAACUUGGCUUUGUUGUGCAGCAUCCUCUUUGAGAUUUGCAGGUUGUCGUCCUGGCAGUACCCUUGUUAAGGUUUAUCAAGUGCUCAUGUUCUCUAACAUGCUGCAGACAUUCCACCCAACUCCCAACCGUUCCUUCUUCCAUCAUUGGAUGAUGCCAAGGAGGACUAGCUUACAACAGAAGUUACAUAUAAACGAUUGUGACUUUCAGUUCUUGAAUUUAAUAAUAAAGAUCCACACUUGAACAGCUCGGUAUAAUUCAUUUUCAGUAAGAAACGAGAACGAGGUGUUUGGUUUGGUAAUCGCCGAGCUUGAAGUGUUUUCUAAGAUGGUGGUUUUUUGCCGAGCUUGAAGUGUUUUCUAGAAGGAUGGUUCUUUAGAGAUUUUAAAAUCAAUUCAAUAACGGUUUUUCAUCCAACAGUUCCAUCGAUUGAUUUGUUAAAGUUUUAAAAUCAACAACUAAUAAUUGAUUUCAAUCGACCA